rnacentral:lncRNA from 1 species
AUGGGCCUUCCUCAGAAGAGAGGCUUCCAGCAAGAACAGAGAAAAGGGGAAAAGAAGACAUUGCCCGAAACCUGCUCGUCACUGCAGCCUUCUUGGGAGUUGGCCAGGCCUUGCCCUCUGCUCUGCACUGUGUGGAAACCAAGGGGGAGGAGACGAGGAGAUUGCCAUGAGCUUUGCCUGCCUUCACAGAGCUUUCAGAACAGCUGGGGACGUCAACAGGAACAUAACAAGAAAUGGUCACAGAUGGAGUUUCUGUUGUGGUGCAGUGGUUAAUGAAUCCAUGAGGUAAUGGGUUCGAUCCCUGCCCUUGCUCAGUGGGUUAAGGAUCCGGCGUUGCAGUGAGCUAUGGUGUAGGCUGGUGGCUACGGCUCUGAUUGGACCCCUAGCCUGAGGACCUCCACAUGCUGCAGGAGCGGCCCUAGAAAAGGCAAAAAGGCAAAAAGGCAAAAAAAAGAAAAAAAAAGAAAAGGUCGCAGAGCUGUGAAACAUCACUUUGUGGCUCUGACUGAAAGGACGUGCUCUGAGAGUUCAGCCAAGGGUGAGGUGAUGGUUGGCCUAGGGGAGACGAGACGGUCCGAGGGUGAGAAAGAUCUGGGCACAACGGGCACGGCACCUGAGAAAGGCAGCUAUAAGAGCAGUGAACAGAUUGAACAGCGUCAAAGGAAGGGCAUGGGGUGGCACCAACCGUGAUGAGAUCACUCUUUUGAGGGUGCAGGAUAUUUUCGGGGACUAGUAGGAAGUACACUUGGAUGAUUUAAGUAGAGUGGGGGCCAAGUUAUAGAGGGCUGCUUACCAGCCCAAGUCGUUUAGACAUCAUGCAAUAGGGACGCUGUCCCAGGAUCUUCAGCAGUGAGUGAUAGGCAGUGUUUUUUGAGUAAUUCAACAGUUGGAGGAGGCUGGUGGAGGGGACUAGCAAGACUGGGUAAUACUGAUUGCUGCAAGAAUUCCAUUGUGAGAAAAACAAAGACAAAAACAAAAACUGGAAGACCUGUGUGGUAAUAGAAACAGAUAAAGAAAAAGAGUAAAUCCUAGAAGCAGCUUUCCAUUCCUUUUGUAUGUGUUUAUUUUGAUUUUUAUCAGACUAUAUGAUACAUGCAUAUUAUAAAAUUUGAGAAAUCACAGAAAAGGAAAAAGGAAAGAAUGCAUAAUCUCUCUAAACACAAGUAACCACUGCUUUGACAUGUUUCUUUCCAGUUUCUCAUAUAUUUUUAUGUGGUUGUGAUCUCACUGUCUAAGCAAUUUUGUAGCUCAUCUUAAAGAUAACAUAUGUAAGAACUUUUCUAUGUCAUUAAUAGCUUUAAGCUUUACUAUUGUAGCUGUGUUGCCUUUAUUGAUAUGGAUGCACUGUUAUUUACUAUAGGAUAAUGGAUUUCAAAUUUUUUUCACUUCUUCCCUUGUUAAAACAGUGCUGGGUAGAAGUGAAUCUCCAUGCAUUAAUCCAUCCAUCUUGGUGAUUAUAUCCACAGGAAAAAUUCCUAGAUAUGCCAUUACUGAAUAAAGUUGUGUUUUUUUUUUUUUAAUUUAAAGCU